rnacentral:rRNA from 1 species
CAGCCGCCGCGGUGAUACGUAGGGUCCGAGCGUUGUCCGGAAUUAUUGGGCGUAAAGGGCUCGUAGGCGGUCUGACAAGUCAGAUGUGAAAUCCCCGGGCUUAACCUGGGAACUGCAUUUGAAACUGUCAGGCUGGAGUCUUGUAGAGGGGGGUAGAAUUCCAGGUGUAGCGGUGAAAUGCGUAGAGAUCUGGAGGAAUACCGGUGGCGAAGGCGGCCCCCUGGACAAAGACUGACGCUCAGGUGCGAAAGCGUGGGGAGCAAACAGGAUUAGAUACCCGCGUAGUCCCUGUCUCUUAUAC